rfam:Ipomoea nil DNA, scaffold: scaffold2653, cultivar: Tokyo-kokei standard.
ACUCAUGGGACAAGGUUUAAACAAAAGCAAGAGACCCCUCCCCCAGCGAAGGCGUAGGGGCAGGAGGGUGGUAGUGCAUGGCCGUUCUUAGUUGGUGGAGCGAUUUGUCUGGUUAAUUCCGUUGACGAACGAGACCUCAGCCUGCUAACUAGCUAUGCGGAGGUAUCCCUCCGCGGCCAGCUUCUUAGAGGGACUACGGCCUUUCAAACCGCGGAAGUUUGAGGCAAUAACAGGUAUGUGCUGCCCUUAGAUGUUCUGGGCCGCACGCGCGCUACACUGAUAUAUUCAACGAGCAUAUAGCCUUGGCCGACAGGCCCGGGUAAUCUUUGAAAUUUCAUCGUGAUGGGGAUAGAUCAUUGCAAUUGUUGGUCUUCAACGAGGAAUUCCUAGUAAGCGCGAGUCAUCAGCUCGCGUUGACUAC